rnacentral:rRNA from 1 species
GCGGUUUAAUCGGACUCAACGCCGGAAACUCACCAGAUAAGACAGCUGAAUGAUAGUCGGGCUGAAGACUCUACUUGACUAGCUGAGAGGAGGUGCAUGGCCGUCGUCAGUUCGUACUGUGAAGCAUCCUGUUAAGUCAGGCAACGAGCGAGACCCACGCCAACAGUUGCCAGCUCGUCCUCCGGGAUGGUGGGGGACACUGUUGGGACCGCCUCUGCUAAAGAGGAGGAAGGAAUGGGCAACGGUAGGUCAGCAUGCCCCGAAUUAUCUGGGCUACACGCGGGCUACAAUGGGUGGGACAAUGGGUAUCGACACCGAAAGGUGAAGGCAAUCUCCUAAACCCAUCCGUAGUUCGGAUUGUGGGCUGCAACUCGCCCACAUGAAGCUGGAAUCUGUAGUAAUCGUGUCUCAAAAUGGCACGGUGAAUAUGUCCCUGCUCCUU